CCUGUUUCCUGUACCUGCCUCUCUCUUCCCAGCCCCAGAUUCCAGAGGCAGCUGUCACCAGCAGGGAACCCAGGACAUCCUGGGACUCAGCUGAUUGGCCUCUUGAUGAGGAUGCCCAAGGGCAGCAACCGCCCUGGGAUCACCACAGGUGCAAGCGAAGCCCCUCCUCCCACCACGUCCUUAACCCCCUAACACCCGCAAGCUCACAGUCCCCGUCACAGAUGAAGAGACUGCAGCUCAGGGAGGCCACAGGACCUGCCAGUAGGUGUUUUCACUACCACAAAAGUGCCCCAAGAAACAUGGGGGACGCCAGUUAGUCACCCAAGGGCACAGCCAGAGGCUGGGAAACACCCGGGAUGGCCCGAGGAGGAGGAGAAGCCCUGGGAGUGUUCCCUGGGUGUGUGCCGGGGCAGAGUGCCAUAAACCCGGCAGCUCACACGCAGCAGAGUCCUCCCAGGGUGCUGGGCCUGAAGACGGAGACAGACGUCAGGCGGUGUGCUCCAGGCCUCUCCCUCCGCUGCUGCGGGUGACCCCGACUCCACGCCACGCCACUCCCAUGCCACCUUCAUUGUCAUGCGGCCACCUUCUCCCUGCAUCUGCCUCUUAUCAGGACACCAGUCCCAUGGGACUGGGGCCACCCAACCCAGCAUGGCCUCUUCUUAACCAAUGACAUCUGCAAAGACACCCUCUCCAAGGAAGGACACUCCCCAGGUGCAGUUGGUCAGAGGUCUUUCCAGGGGACACGUCUGAACCUCUUAGGGGCCCAGAAUCCUGCAGGCUUGCUCCUCCCUCCCCUCCACCAGACUUUCCUGGCUUUCUGUGGGGAGAGGAGCUGGGGGGGCCCUGCCUGGACAGGCCCUGUGCAGCCGGGCAGCUCCUGAGCCCACCCUGCUCUGCUCCCACACACCUGCCCAGGCUGCGGCCCCAUCUCCUUAAUGCAAGCAGGUCUUGGUGCUUGGUGAAGGUUAUUUUCAGCCAAGCAAAAAAUAUCUUUGUAAGAAGGAAUUUUUAAGAUCCCAAGAAAAAUAAUGAUGGCACCCAGCAGCUGUUAUUAAGUCUAUUUUUGGAGAACUUCGCUGGUGCUGUUAAUCCCACCUUACCUCUUGCUGCAGAAACUGACAUGGACCUGCACCUGGCGGGGCUCCGGGCCUGCUGUGUCUGUGCAGGCCAAGUCGAGCCCCAGGGUCCAGCUCACUGCCCACUGCCCGCCACUCAGCAGAGGAAGGCCACUAAGUCCCAGGACAGGAGAGAGGAGUCCCACACACACCAAGACAGACGGCUGCCACAGCCCGAAUGCCAGGGACAACGCCAGGCAGCUGUGUCCUGCUGGAAAGACAAUCAGGGUAUCCAGGUCACCUUGGCUGCCCUGUGCAGACCACAGCUAGGAGAGGCCCGAGCCUUACCAGGAGGAGAAGCCCAGGCGCUCGCUGCAUCUGCUGGCCGGGCUGAUUGACGGGCACCUGUCAGCCCUGGGUCAGUGCCAGCUGGGCCUUGAGGUCCCUGCCACGGCUUUCCCUCAGAAUUCCCAGGAGCCCUGAGAGCUGCCACCACCUGGAUGCCAUCCCAGCCGCCUGGUGUGGCCUGGUGUCCAGCUCUCAAAGUUGCCAGGUGGCUCUCACUUGCACCAGGUUGAAAGGUGGGACGGGCGGUCCCCACUCUCUGGGCAGGUCCCUCUGGAAGCUUUGCCCAGACAAGGCCCCAUGGGUGGACUCUCUCAAGUGCUGGCUCCCCUGACCCCGUAGUCUCGUCAGCGGCUGCCGUCCACGCAGCCAGAGGCAGGGCUGUGGCCCCCUGCUCCUGCCCUCACACCCACCAGGGCACCUGCGGGUCGGAGCAUCCCACAGGAGCAGCUGCCGGCCUCCUCCAGGCCUCCUGCUGCCCGCUGCCCCGCCCCUCUAUGGGGAGUCUCUCCUUGUUUUUCAGCACAUGGCUAAGAAGCUAAGAAGCGUCCUUCUCAGGAAGAUCUCCUGACCCUCCCAAGUGCACGCCCAGCUUCCCUACUCCUGGCCCCAGGGUCAAGGGCAGGGAGCAGGUGCCUCCUAGAGGAGCUCCCUGCGGGGCAGGGCCUCUGUGGUUAUUCACCAGGUGGGGACACCUGACAGGGCUUUGGUCCCCGCAACCCAGGGGCCGCCAGAGGGGACACAUGCUCUCAGGCACCAGCCCCAAGCCUUGGGCAGCUGUGUCCUGCUGGGAGGACAGGCAGGAGGGCGGCUCUCCCCUCUGCUACUCUGGCCCUGUCCCUGACCACAGGUGCCAUCUGUCUGCUGUGCCUCAGGCUGUUUCCCCACACCCCAGCCUCCCAGCGGGGCCUCUUGAAGGGGCAGUGAUCUAUCCCAUCCCUUAAUCGUUGCUCCCGGAGGUCGAGAUCCACAAACAAAGGCUCCUGUGCCCUGGGCUUCUUGCUGUUUGUCCUGGUUGAUUUCUCUGUCUCACGGCAGAGCUGAGUCCAGGGGGUGAGAGUUGUCCCAGGAAGCUCCACACAAAGUCCUCUUCUGCCCAUGGAGGCCUGGGAACUGGCUGAAAGGGGCCCGGGGACCUGGGGGGACGGGGACAGGAGCCUGCAAUAGGAUGGGGUGGGCAGAGGUGGAGUGCCUGCCAGCCCUUGGUCUUGCCUGCUCUCCGGGGCACUGGCUCCUGCCAGCUCCUCACUCCCCAGGUCUAUGCAGAGCCUGGGGGCCUGGAGAGCGUCCGACAGCAGGUUUUAGACUGUACAUCAGAGCGUCCCGCGGAGUGUAGGAGAACCCGGGAAACCCAUCCCACCCUCCAGGCCUCCGGGAUAAGGCCACCAGAUUUAUCAAAUGAAGUUUCAAGAAGCCCAGCUAAAUUUGCAUUCCAGGAGGUUCUAGAAGUUUCUUCCAGAAACUCGGGGACACUGGAGAGAGUGUGCGAGUGAUUCAACAAAAAUCUGUUUCAACACUGCCCGACGGGAACACAAGCCAAGGCCUGGCAGUGUGUAACUAUCGCACAAAGGGUUAACCCCACGGACAAGACGGCUGCUCUUCAAUGUAUCUCAAUCACAGAUCUGUAUGUGCAUGUCAGCAGUCAGUGGCAUAUUGAAUUUUUUCACACUGUUUACCUAGCAUAAUUUGCAGUUGGUCUGUAUUUGAUUAAACACCAUCAUCUUUUA